GCCCCAUUAGCUCAGUGGAUAGAGCGUUGCCCUCCGGAGGCAGAGGCCCGCGUUCGAGUCGCGGAUGGGGUA
rnacentral:tRNA from 2 species